UUGAUUUAUUUGUUUGUUUUACUCAGAAGAUACUGUAUAAAAUCAAGGGUUUGGGUCCUCUGGCGGGCUGCCGAAGCAGGCACCGCCGAGGCAACAAAUGGUAUGUUCACAGGGGUUUGGGAGUUGUAAACUCGGUAAUGAUCCCUCCGCUGGUUCACCAACGGAGA
rnacentral:misc_RNA from 1 species